rnacentral:rRNA from 1 species
CCUACGGGAGGCAGCAGUGGGGAAUAUUGGACAAUGGGGGGAACCCUGAUCCAGCGACGCCGCGUGAGUGAAGCAGUAUUUCGGUAUGUAAAGCUCUCUCAGCCUGGAAGAAAGAAAUGACGGUACCUGACUAAGAAGCCCCGGCUAACUACGUGCCAGCAGCCGCGGUAAUACGUAGGUGGCAAGCGUUAUACGGAUUUACUGGGUGUAACGGGAGCGUAGACGGCGAUGCAAGUCUGAAGUGAAAGGCGGGGGCCCAACCCCCGGACUGCUUUGGAAACUGUAUGGCUGGAGUGCAGGAGAGGUAAGUGGAAUUCCUAGUGUAGCGGUGAAAUGCGUAGAGAGUAGGAGGAACACCAGUGGCGAAGGCGGAUGACUGGACUGUAACUGACGUUGAGGCUCGAAAGCGUGGGGAGCAAACAGGAUUAGAUACCCGAGUAGUC